AAGAGUGUGAAAGACAUGUACUCACUUCUCAAUAUUCCUACUUUAAAUUUUGAUAUCCAAAACAAAUGUUUAUGAUUUCAGCUGGCUAACCUUAAUAGGAUUUCCUCCAAAACUGUCCUUGCAAUACAUAUAGAAUGAAACAGGAAUUCAACUGAGGAGCUCCGUGUUCAGUUCCCCGG